rnacentral:rRNA from 1 species
UGGGGAAUAUUGCACAAUGGGCGCAAGCCUGAUGCAGCCAUGCCGCGUGUGUGAAGAAGGCCUUCGGGUUGUAAAGCACUUUCAGCGAGGAGGAAGGGUAGUGUGUUAAUAGCACAUUGCAUUGACGUUACUCGCAGAAGAAGCACCGGCUAACUCCGUGCCAGCAGCCGCGGUAAUACGGAGGGUGCAAGCGUUAGUCGGAAUUACUGGGCGUAAAGCGCACGCAGGCGGUUUGUUAAGUCAGAUGUGAAAUCCCCGCGCUUAACGUGGGAACUGCAUUUGAAACUGGCAAGCUAGAGUCUUGUAGAGGGGGGUAGAAUUCCAGGUGUAGCGGUGAAAUGCGUAGAGAUCUGGAGGAAUACCGGUGGCGAAGGCGGCCCCCUGGACAAAGACUGACGCUCAGGUGCGAAAGCGUGGGGAGCAAACA